rnacentral:rRNA from 1 species
UACGAAGGGGGGCUAGCGUUGUUCGGAAUUACUGGGCGUAAAGCGCGCGCAGGCGGUCUUCCAAGUCAGUGGUGAAAGCCCGGAGCUCAACUCCGGAACUGCCAUUGAAACUGUGAGACUUGAGUACGAGAGAGGUGAGUGGAAUUCCCAGUGUAGAGGUGAAAUUCGUAGAUAUUGGGAAGAACACCGGUGGCGAAGGCGGCUCACUGGCUCGUAACUGACGCUCAGGCGCGACAGCGUGGGGAUCAAACAGG